AGUGGUAGUCUGGAUUUAUGGUCUGGGGUUUUAGACUGUGUGGAGGGGAGUGGUAGUCUGGACUUAUGGUCUGGGGUUUUAGACUCGGUGUGAAGUAGAGGGGAGUGGUAGUCUGGGGUUUUAGACUCUGUGUGGAGGGGAGUGGUAGUCUGGACUUAUGGUCUGGGGUUUUAGACUCUGUGUGGAGUAGAGGGGAGUGUUAGUCUGGACUUAAGGUCCAGGGUUUUAGACUCUGUGUGGAGGGGAGUGUUAGUCUGGACUUAAGGUCCAGGGUUUUAGACUCGGUGUGGAGUAGAGCAGCUGAACUGUGAGAGUUCAGGUCUGGGGUUUUAGACUCGGUGUGGAGUAGAGCAGCUGAACUGUGAGAGUUCAGGUCUGGGGUUUUAGACUCGGUGUGGAGUAGAGCAGCUGAACUGUGAGAGUUCAGGUAUGGGGUUUUAGACUCGGUGUGGAGUAGAGCAGCUGAACUGUGAGAGUUCAGGUAUGGGGUUUUAGACUCGGUGUGGAGUAGAGCAGCUGAACUGUGAGUUCAGGUCUGGGGUUUUAGACUCGGUGUGGAGUAGAGCAGCUGAACUGUGAGACUUAAGGUCUGGGGUUUUAGACUCGGUGUGGAGUAGAGCAGCUGAACUGUGAGACUUAAGGUCUGGGGUUUUAGACUCGGUGUGGAGUAGAGCAGCUGAACUGUGAGAGUUCAGGUCUGGGGUUUUAGACUCGGUGUGGAGUAGAGCAGCUGAACUGUGAGAGUUCAGGUCUGGGGUUUUAGACUCGGUGUGGAGUAGAGCAGCUGAACUGUGAGAGUUCAGGUCUGGGGUUUUAGACUCGGUGUGGAGGGGAGUGGUAGUCUGGACUGUGAGAGUUCAGGUCUGGGGUUUUAGACUCGGUGUGGAGUAGAGCAGCUGAACUGUGAGAGUUCAGGUCUGGGGUUUUAGACUCGGUGUGGAGUAGAGCAGCUGAACUGUGAGAGUUCAGGUCUGGGGUUUUAGACUCGGUGUGGAGUAGAGCAGCUGAACUGUGAGAGUUCAGGUCUGGGGUUUUAGACUCGGUGUGGAGUAGAGCAGCUGAACUGUGAGAGUUCAGGUCUGGGGUUUUAGACUCUGUGUGGAGUAGAGCAGCUGAACUGUGAGUGUUCAGGUCUGGGGUUUUAGACUCGGUGUGGAGUAGAGCAGCUGAACUGUGAGAGUUCAGGUCUGGGGUUUUAGACUCGGUGUGGAGUAGAGCAGCUGAACUGUGAGAGUUCAGGUCUGGGGUUUUAGACUCGGUGUGGAGUAGAGCAGCUGAACUGUGAGAGUUCAGGUCUGGGGUUUUAGACUCGGUGUGGAGUAGAGCAGCUGAACUGUGAGAGUUCAGGUCUGGGGUUUUAGACUCUGUGUGGAGUAGAGCAGCUGAACUGUGAGAUUUCAGGUGUGGGGUUUUAGACUCGGUGUGGAGUAGAGCAGCUGAACUGUGAGAGUUCAGGUCUGGGGUUUUAGACUCGGUGUGGAGUAGAGCAGCUGAACUGUGAGAGUUCAGGUCUGGGGUUUUAGACUCUGUGUGGAGUAGAGCAGCUGAACUGUGAGAGUUCAGGUCUGGGGUUUUAGACUCUGUGUGGAGUAGAGCAGCUGAACUGUGAGAGUUCAGGUCUGGGGUUUUAGACUCGGUGUGGAGUAGAGGGGAGUGGUAGUCUGGACUUAUGGUCUGGGGUUUUAGACUCUGUGUGGAGUAGAGGGGAGUGGUAGUCUGGAUUUAAGGUCUGGGGUUUUAGACUCGGUGUGGAGUAGAGGGGAGUGGUAGUCUGGACUUAUGGUCUGGGGUUUUAGACUCUGUGUGGAGUAGAGGGGAGUGGUAGUCUGGACUUAUGGUCUGGGGUUUUAGACUCUGUGUGGAGUAGAGGGGAGUGGUAGUCUGGAUUUAAGGUCUGGGGUUUUAGACUCGGUGUGGAGUAGAGGGGAGUGGUAGUCUGGACUUAUGGUCUGGGGUUUUAGACUCUGUGUGGAGUAGAGGGGAGUGGUAGUCUGGACUUAUGGUCUGGGGUUUUAGACUCUGUGUGGAGUAGAGGGGAGUGGUAGUCUGGAUUUAAGGUCUGGGGUUUUAGACUCGGUGUGGAGUAGAGGGGAGUGGUAGUCUGGAUUUAUGGUCUGGGGUUUUAGACUGUGGAGGGGAGUGGUAGUCUGGACUUAUGGUCUGGGGUUUUAGACUCGGUGUGAAGUAGAGGGGAGUGGUAGUCUGGAUUUAAGGUCUGGGGUUUUAGACUCGGUGUGGAGUAGAGGGGAGUGGUAGUCUGGAUUUAUGGUCUGGGGUUUUAGACUGUGUGGAGGGGAGUGGUAGUCUGGACUUAUGGUCUGGGGUUUUAGACUCGGUGUGAAGUAGAGGGGAGUGGUAGUCUGGGGUUUUAGACUCUGUGUGGAGGGGAGUGGUAGUCUGGACUUAUGGUCUGGGGUUUUAGACUCUGUGUGGAGGGGAGUGUUAGUCUGGACUUAAGGUCCAGGGUUUUAGACUCGGUGUGGAGUAGAGCAGCUGAACUGUGAGAGUUCAGGUCUGGGGUUUUAGACUCGGUGUGGAGUAGAGCAGCUGAACUGUGAGAGUUCAGGUCUGGGGUUUUAGACUCGGUGUGGAGUAGAGCAGCUGAACUGUGAGAGUUCAGGUAUGGGGUUUUAGACUCGGUGUGGAGUAGAGCAGCUGAACUGUGAGAGUUCAGGUAUGGGGUUUUAGACUCGGUGUGGAGUAGAGCAGCUGAACUGUGAGAGUUCAGGUCUGGGGUUUUAGACUCGGUGUGGAGUAGAGCAGCUGAACUGUGAGACUUAAGGUCUGGGGUUUUAGACUCGGUGUGGAGUAGAGCAGCUGAACUGUGAGAGUUCAGGUCUGGGGUUUUAGACUCGGUGUGGAGUAGAGCAGCUGAACUGUGAGAGUUCAGGUCUGGGGUUUUAGACUCGGUGUGGAGUAGAGCAGCUGAACUGUGAGAGUUCAGGUCUGGGGUUUUAGACUCGGUGUGGAGGGGAGUGGUAGUCUGGACUGUGAGAGUUCAGGUCUGGGGUUUUAGACUCGGUGUGGAGUAGAGCAGCUGAACUGUGAGAGUUCAGGUCUGGGGUUUUAGACUCGGUGUGGAGUAGAGCAGCUGAACUGUGAGAGUUCAGGUCUGGGGUUUUAGACUCGGUGUGGAGUAGAGCAGCUGAACUGUGAGAGUUCAGGUCUGGGGUUUUAGACUCGGUGUGGAGUAGAGCAGCUGAACUGUGAGAGUUCAGGUCUGGGGUUUUAGACUCUGUGUGGAGUAGAGCAGCUGAACUGUGAGUGUUCAGGUCUGGGGUUUUAGACUCGGUGUGGAGUAGAGCAGCUGAACUGUGAGAGUUCAGGUCUGGGGUUUUAGACUCGGUGUGGAGUAGAGCAGCUGAACUGUGAGAGUUCAGGUCUGGGGUUUUAGACUCGGUGUGGAGUAGAGCAGCUGAACUGUGAGAGUUCAGGUCUGGGGUUUUAGACUCGGUGUGGAGUAGAGCAGCUGAACUGUGAGAGUUCAGGUCUGGGGUUUUAGACUCUGUGUGGAGUAGAGCAGCUGAACUGUGAGAUUUCAGGUGUGGGGUUUUAGACUCGGUGUGGAGUAGAGCAGCUGAACUGUGAGAGUUCAGGUCUGGGGUUUUAGACUCGGUGUGGAGUAGAGCAGCUGAACUGUGAGAGUUCAGGUCUGGGGUUUUAGACUCUGUGUGGAGUAGAGCAGCUGAACUGUGAGAGUUCAGGUCUGGGGUUUUAGACUCUGUGUGGAGUAGAGCAGCUGAACUGUGAGAGUUCAGGUCUGGGGUUUUAGACUCGGUGUGGAGUAGAGGGGAGUGGUAGUCUGGACUUAUGGUCUGGGGUUUUAGACUCUGUGUGGAGUAGAGGGGAGUGGUAGUCUGGAUUUAAGGUCUGGGGUUUUAGACUCGGUGUGGAGUAGAGGGGAGUGGUAGUCUGGACUUAUGGUCUGGGGUUUUAGACUCUGUGUGGAGUA